rnacentral:rRNA from 1 species
CCUACGGGGGGCAGCAGUGGGGAAUAUUGCACAAUGGGCGCAAGCCUGAUGCAGCCAUGCCGCGUGUGUGAAGAAGGCCUUCGGGUUGUAAAGCACUUUCAGCGGGGAGGAAGGCGUUAAGGUUAAUAACCUUGUCGAUUGACGUUACCCGCAGAAGAAGCACCGGCUAACUCCGUGCCAGCAGCCGCGGUAAUACGGAGGGUGCAAGCGUUAAUCGGAAUUACUGGGCGUAAAGCGCACGCAGGCGGUCUGUCAAGUCGGAUGUGAAAUCCCCGGGCUCAACCUGGGAACUGCAUUCGAAACUGGCAGGCUAGAGUCUUGUAGAGGGGGGUAGAAUUCCAGGUGUAGCGGUGAAAUGCGUAGAGAUCUGGAGGAAUACCGGUGGCGAAGGCGGCCCCCUGGACAAAGACUGACGCUCAGGUGCGAAAGCGUGGGGGGCAAACAGGAUUAGAUACCCCGGUAGUC